rnacentral:rRNA from 1 species
GAUGAACGCUGGCGGCGUGCCUAAUACAUGCAAGUCGAGCGAACAGACGAGGAGCUUGCUCCUCUGACGUUAGCGGCGGACGGGUGAGUAACACGUGGAUAACCUACCUAUAAGACUGGGAUAACUUCGGGAAACCGGAGCUAAUACCGGAUAAUAUAUUGAACCGCAUGGUUCAAUAGUGAAAGACGGUUUUGCUGUCACUUAUAGAUGGAUCCGCGCCGCAUUAGCUAGUUGGUAAGGUAACGGCUUACCAAGGCAACGAUGCGUAGCCGACCUGAGAGGGUGAUCGGCCACACUGGAACUGAGACACGGUCCAGACUCCUACGGGAGGCAGCAGUAGGGAAUCUUCCGCAAUGGGCGAAAGCCUGACGGAGCAACGCCGGGUGAGUGAUGAAGGUUUUCGGAUCGUAAAACUCUGUUAUUAGGGAAGAACAAAUGUGUAAGUAACUAUGCACGUCUUGACGGUACCUAAUCAGAAAGCCACGGCUAACUACGUG